rnacentral:tRNA from 2 species
GCGUCUGUAGCUCAGUUGGUUAGAGCACCACCUUGACAUGGUGGGGGUCGGUGGUUCGAGUCCACUCGGACGCACCA